UUGUGGAGGAGGACGCCGAAGGUGGGGCUAAUGACUGGGGUGAAGUCGUAACAAGGUAGCCGUACCGGAAGGUGCGGCUGGAUCACCUCCUAACAGGGAGACAACAAAAUGUAAAUAUUAAUUUUGUCACCUUAGGUCGAUCGGUAUCUCAGAUUCUUAUUUUUUAAGAAUUUCAGUUUCUAAGUUUUUUCUAGGUCACACCCAUCACUUUUUCCUGGGCCAUUAGCUCAGGUGGUUAGAGCGCACCCCUGAUAAGGGUGAGGUCCCUGGUUCAAGUCCAGGAUGGCCCAUAUCUCUAUGUUGGGGGUAUAGCUCAGUUGGUAGAGCGCCUGCUUUGCAAGCAGGAUGUCAGCGGUUCGAGUCCGCUUACCUCCACUGAAUACCACCUCUUACAUGUAUUCAAAGACGGAAAUUGUUUUGAGUAGUGUCCUAAUUUGCUCUGAGCGAAUCUAGCUUCCUAUUUUAUUCAAUAAAUAAGAUGCUGGACUCAUUGAAUUUUUUUUCAUUGUUUUCAGAGAACCUUGACAACUGCAUAGAUUAUUUUUAAAGACAAUAAGCAUCUUUAAUGAUGCAGAUUUAUUAUUUGUGCGAAUGCAUUAAAUAACAAUUCUAUUAAGCUGAUGCUUCAAUUAUUGAAGUUAUUGGUCAAGCUACAA
rnacentral:misc_RNA from 1 species